UACUCCUACGGGAGGCAGCAGUAGGGAAUCUUCCACAAUGGACGCAAGUCUGAUGGAGCAACGCCGCGUGAGUGAAGAAGGCUUUCGGGUCGUAAAACUCUGUUGUUGGAGAAGAAUGGUCGGCAGAGUAACUGUUGUCGGCGUGACGGUAUCCAACCAGAAAGCCACGGCUAACUACGUGCCAGCAGCCGCGGUAAUACGUAGGUGGCAAGCGUUAUCCGGAUUUAUUGGGCGUAAAGCGAGCGCAGGCGGUUUUUUAAGUCUGAUGUGAAAGCCCUCGGCUUAACCGAGGAAGUGCAUCGGAAACUGGGAAACUUGAGUGCAGAAGAGGACAGUGGAACUCCAUGUGUAGCGGUGAAAUGCGUAGAUAUAUGGAAGAACACCAGUGGCGAAGGCGGCUGUCUGGUCUGUAACUGACGCUGAGGCUCGAAAGCAUGGGUAGCGAACAGGAUUAGAUACCCUGGUAGUCCAUGCCGUAAACGAUGAAUGCUAGGUGUUGGAGGGUUUCCGCCCUUUAGUGCCGCAGCUAACGCAUUAAGCAUUCCGCCUGGGGAGUACGACCGCAAGGUUGAAACUCAAAGGAAUUGACGGA
rnacentral:rRNA from 1 species